rnacentral:rRNA from 1 species
UACGUAGGGGCCGAGCGUUGUCCGGAAUCAUUGGGCGUAAAGAGCGUGUAGGCGGCUUGUUAAGUCUGGUGUGAAAUCUCGGGGCUCAACCCCGAGCGGUCGUGAGAAACUGGCAGGCUAGAGUGCGGGAGAGGAGAGUGGAAUUCCUGGUGUAGCGGUGAAAUGCGCAGAUAUCAGGAGGAACACCCGUGGCGAAGGCGGCUCUCUGGAACGCAACUGACGCUGAGACGCGAAAGCGUGGGGAGCAAACAGG